rnacentral:rRNA from 1 species
UACGUAGGGGGCAAGCGUUAUCCGGAAUCAUUGGGCGUAAAGCGCGUGUAGGCGGUUCCGUAAGUCCGCUCUGAAAGCCCAGGGCUCAACCCUGGGAGGCGGGUGGAUACUACGGAACUGGAGUACGGAAGAGGAGAUUGGAAUUCCUGGUGUAGCGGUGAAAUGCGCAGAUAUCAGGAGGAACACCGAUGGCGAAGGCAGGUCUGCUGGGCCACUACUGACGCUGAGAAGCGAAAGCAUGGGGAGCGAACAGG